rnacentral:misc_RNA from 1 species
GUACAUUCGUAGUGCUUACGCACAAUGAUAAUUUCAUUACAUUCGAGUCGGUGUAAAAAUCCUCUGCCAGCCGAAGCUAGCAAGAGGCCAAAGGUUCACAGGGGUAUUGGAUGAAAGCCACCAACGUGCACUUGCAAGAGCCAGCACCGAAGGCAACCAUUCGCAAUCAUUAAUGAUCCUUCCGCAGGUUCACCUACGGAAA